UACGGGGGGGGCAAGCGUUGUUCGGAAUUACUGGGCGUAAAGGGCUCGUAGGUGGCCAACUAAGUCAGACGUGAAAUCCCUCGGCUUAACCGGGGAACUGCGUCUGAUACUGGAUGGCUUGAGUGUGGGAGAGGGAUGCGGAAUUCCUGGUGUAGCGGUGAAAUGCGCAGAUAUCAGGAGGAACACCAAUGGCGAAGGCAGCUCGCUGGAACGGUACUGACGCUGAGGCGCGAAAGCGUGGGGAGCGAACAGG
rnacentral:rRNA from 1 species